rnacentral:miRNA from 1 species
ACCUACUUGUUGGGAGGGCUUCCUCCCGAAGAGCUGGUUUGAAAGCCAGCUUGCCCGGAGGAACCCCUCCCAACAAGGUGGUACACAGACCAGCUUGUUGGAAGCAAUCCCUUCUGACGAGCUGGUUUCAAACCCAGCUCGCCGCGAGGAACCCCUCCCGACGAGGUGGU